UACGGAGGGGGCUAGCGUUGUUCGGAAUUACUGGGCGUAAAGCGCACGUAGGCGGCUUUGCAAGUCAGAGGUGAAAGCCCGGGGCUCAACCCCGGAAUUGCCUUUGAGACUGCAUCGCUAGAAUUGUGGAGAGGUAAGUGGAAUUCCGAGUGUAGAGGUGAAAUUCGUAGAUAUUCGGAAGAACACCAGUGGCGAAGGCGACUUACUGGACACAUAUUGACGCUGAGGUGCGAAAGCGUGGGGAGCAAGCAGG
rnacentral:rRNA from 1 species